rnacentral:rRNA from 1 species
AUUGAACGCUGGCGGCAGGCCUAACACAUGCAAGUCGAACGGUAACAGGAAACAGCUUGCUGUUUCGCUGACGAGUGGCGGACGGGUGAGUAAUGUCUGGGAAACUGCCUGAUGGAGGGGGAUAACUACUGGAAACGGUAGCUAAUACCGCAUAACGUCGCAAGACCAAAGAGGGGGACCUUCGGGCCUCUUGCCAUCGGAUGUGCCCAGAUGGGAUUAGCUAGUAGGUGGGGUAACGGCUCACCUAGGCGACGAUCCCUAGCUGGUCUGAGAGGAUGACCAACCACACUGGAACUGAGACACGGUCCAGACUCCUACGGGAGGCAGCAGUGGGGAAUAUUGCACAAUGGGCGCAAGCCUGAUGCAGCCAUGCCGCGUGUAUGAAGAAGGCCUUCGGGUUGUAAAGUACUUUCGGCGGGGAGGAAGGGAGUAAAGUUAAUACCUUUACUCAUUGACGUUACCCGCAGAAGAAGCACCGGCUAACUCCGUG